UAACAAAGCUAAGGGGGGAAAGGGGAAUGUCCAGCCGCCAUCCCUAGAGAGUUCAUCAAUUCUUCAUCUUUAAGCUCGAGCAACCAUGGAGGUCAGCUGAAGACUAACCACGGGAGCCGAUUCCCUGCGGGCAACAAGAGAUGAAUAUGUAGGUGCCGAUGAGUUCUGAUUGGUUUUAAAGGGCAGUUAAACGUCUCACAAAUGUCAUAAACUCAAUCAAGACUUCUUCAACUCCUAGCACUACCAAUCCUAUCUUUCAUAAUCGUGAUUGAGCUCAGCUUGGAGCUAAUACCACUGUCUAAGCCUGAAGAAGCCAUUGAUCCAUUUACAAUCUCAUCGAGUCAUCUUCAAGCGACUACUGACAGACAUUACUUAGGAGAUUAGUAUCAUUCAAACUCAAGGAUGGUUAAUACUAGAUUCAACGGCGUUAGGCCCGUAGCUCCCGUCAAUGCUCCAGUUGUGGAAUCUGCAGAGAGAGGUCGCGGUAGAGGCAUGGGUAGAUGAAGAGCUAGGGGUAGAGGUCGUGGAAGAGUAGCACCUGUUGGAAAUAGAGAUCAUGUUGAGAAUUCUCCUAUGAAUGAGAAUCCUCAUACGUAUCUUGAAGAGAUAGAGGAAAAUGUUGAUGUGGAAAAUUUGGGACAGAGGGAGAGGUGCAGGCUGAGACUACAGGUGUUCCUCCUUUGGAUCCAGUGUUAGCUCAACAGAUCAUGUCGUUCUUAAAGGGAUUGGUUGGUCGUGGAGUGCUUCCUUCUGCUCAACCAACUCAAGCUCCUACUAAUUCUCCUAUUGCUAGCACUUCUCCCAAUGUGGGUGGGACUGGAGGUAAUGAUGCUUUCUUUCGUCCUUUGUCUGGUUCUGUUAUGACUAGUAAUGAGCAUGAAAUGUUGACUAAGUUUCUGAAGCUAAAGCCUCA